rnacentral:misc_RNA from 1 species
GUCCGCCAUUUUGCUGAGAAGGAAUAGGCAAGGGGAUUCCAUGGUACUUAGUACUGGACUCUGUGACUGAGACUCUAUAGAAAAUGCAUCGGACGUCCUAGAGGACACGUGUUUCCUAAAAGACGCCAGAUAGAAUAUUUCGUAGAGCCAGAGUGGGAUAAAUAUGCACUAUAGGACCCUAUACUUCUUGGGCCCAAUUGGAAAAUUCCAUACAGACGCUCAGGUAUGACCAUAGUCUACCGGUAAACAGUCCAUCCUACAGGCCAGCAUGCCAGUUGUAAAGUGCCCAUUCCCAGACUGCACUUAUGAGACAGAAGAUGUGGCAGAUACCAUUGUCAACACACUAUUGACAAUACAUGCACAAAGCCAUAAUGCCACUUCCUCUCAGUCAUCUACAAAUGUCAAAACUGACAAGAUUCGUCGCCCCACAAUAUCUACAGCGGGUACUAGUGAAGAUUGGACUUACCUUAUUCCGCUGACAUCUUUCACUCUUUCAUAGGAGGCAUCAAACUAAUGGAUGGUGUAAAUGAUUACACUGACAUUGAGGAAAAUUUGAUUGACUCUGCUAAUUAUGCCCUUGAUUCCACAAUUAAGUCAAUUAUAUGGAACCAAGUUAGGCAGGCUACAGCAAGUGAUGAAAAUAUGAAUCAGCUACUGUCAAUCAUUGAUUUAGGAAUCCCCAAACACCGCCAUGAAUUGCCACCUUCAUUGCGCGAAUACCACCAAUUCAGGGAACACAUCUACAGUGUUGAUGGUGUUAUUAUUUACAAGGAUCGCAUUAUUAUACCACCAUGCCUUAGGGAACAAAUACUCUCUGCACUUCACGCUGCUCACCAAGGCAUAUCAUCCAUGAUAUCCAGAGCAGAGGCUUCUGUAUUCUGGCCAGGUAUAACUGCGGACAUCACUGCUGUGCGUGCAAAUUGUAACCAUUGUCACCAGAUUGCACCAUCACAACCCUCUGCGCCACCCUACAAUCCCAUACCACCAAAGUAUCCUUUUCAGUGCAUCUGUGCAGAUAUUUUCAUGUUUAAGGGUACUCACUACUUGGUCAUUGUUGACAGAUACGCCAACUGGCCAAUUGUAGAAUAUGCAUCUGGAGGAUCUAAAGGACUAAAAACUAGUCUACGCCGUGCAUUCUCUACUUAUGGGAUCCCAGAGGAAUUGGCUUCCGAUGGAGGCCCUGAAUUCACUUCUUCUGAAAUUCACGCAAAUUCCUUGAAGAUUGGGGUGUACAUCACCGUUUAUCAUCUGUAGCAUUUCCCCACAGCAAUUGUCGCGCUGAAGUUGGUGUCAAAACAGUCAAACGAUUGCUUAUGAACAAUACAGGACCAAAUGGUGAGUUGGACACCAAUUCAGUGCAGCGUGCAAUAUUACAGUACCGUAAUACACCUGAUCCAGAUACAAAACUGUCCCCUGCAAUGUGUAUAUUUGGAGGCCAAUAAGGGAUUUUAUUCCAAUACUACCAGGUCGAUACGAACCACAUCCUACAUGGAAGUCAACAUUAGCAGCACGUGAGGAAGCACUCCGUAACAGACAUAUGAGAUCCGCAGAACACUGGAGCGAACACACUAGACGCCUACCACCACUUGCUAUUGGAUGCCACGUUCGUAUUCAGAAUCAGACUGGUCCGCAUCCAAAUAAAUCGCACAAAACUGGCACUAUUACUGAAGUAAAACAGUUUGACCAGUACCUGGUGAAAGUUGAUGGAUCUGGACGUGUGACACGACGCAAUAGAAAAUUCUUAAGGAAAUUUAUUCCGUAUGUGUCAUCUCUACCUCGUCACUCUAUCAUUGAUGACCUAAAACACAGAUUUGACAUACAACAGCCUGCAGUAAACAAUGACACACCUACAUUCAGCAAAUUACCAGAACCAGAAUCUACCUUAUUGAAAAAUUCACAAGAGUCAGUGGAGUCGGAAAAAACUGCCACCACAACUCUACCCAUAGGACCAAAUGAAACUGAUGGAAAGUGUAAAAAAACAGGAACACUUCCUUUAACACAACCAUCUCAUGAAACUCCUAAAGCACUUCCAAAACCACCACGGAUGUUAACAAGACUUUUACCACACAACAAACCCGGACUAAAGGAAUCAAAUGAAGGACUACGCAGAUCUGUAAGACUAAAUAAAAACUAACUUUAACCGUCUUUAAUGUUUAAAAGACUGGGGGGGCAUAGAGAAUAAUGAGCAUACUGUAGUUUUCAUUCAAAGGUAAUUGCUUACCAAGAGUACUUAGUCAGAUGUUAGAUGUAGCCAAAGGCUAUGUUGCAUCAGUACUUACCUGGAGAACAUGUCAUUCUCUAUAUGCACACUGUGUAGGCCUAUAUAGUGAAUCAUUCAGACACUGGACUUCACCCUGAUAGGAGGUGUGCAGGACUUUUUAUACCUGAGGUGACUUUCAUUU